GACGGAGGGUGCAAGCGUUGUUCGGAAUUACUGGGCGUAAAGGGCGCGUAGGCGGUCUGUUAAGUUCGGUGUGAAAGCCCCGGCUCACCUGGGGAACUGCGCCGGAAACCGACAGACUCGAGUACCGGAGAGGAGGGUGGAAUUCCUGGUGUAGCGGUGAAAUGCGUAGAUAUCAGGAGGAACACCGGUGGUGUAGACGGCUCUCUGGACCGUAACUGACGCUGAGGCACGAAAGCGUGGGUAGCAAGCAGG
rnacentral:rRNA from 1 species